UGGGGAAUAUUGCACAAUGGGGGGAACCCUGAUGCAGCGACGCCGCGUGAAGGAAGAAGUAUUUCGGUAUGUAAACUUCUAUCAGCAGGGAAGAAAAUGACGGUACCUGACUAAGAAGCCCCGGCUAACUACGUGCC
rnacentral:rRNA from 1 species